rnacentral:lncRNA from 1 species
GCCUGCGGACUCAUUUGGCAGGAAUCGCUUUACUGGAUGUGUCGUAUAUGACUGUGCAAAACACACACACACACACACACACAGACGCAGUGAGUGAAAGUAACAGAAGAGGCUGCUUGGGAUCACUUUGCUGAGGAAAGUAGAGCAGGAAAGGUUCCUUCAUGGGAACUUCUUGGAUUCUCUCUCAGGAGUAGUGGGAUGGGGAACGAAGUCAGAAGAUGUCUGCGUGACAUACAUCUGUAUUGGUGUUCCCAGGGCAGGUGGAUGGGGGCGAUGGAAGGAUGCCUGUUUGUUGUUAAUUGCUGUGAAUGAGGCCCAUGGGAUGAACCAGAAAGGAACAUUCUCCUGCGGCUGUGUCACACAGCGCGUGUACAAGUGGGCCAAAGUUCAGCCUCUUCCUGUAAAUAGAUCAAAAGGAACAGCCAGAUGUCUGAAAUUCCCCAUCAAAUGUCCAAGAAUUCCUGAGGACUCGCACCGAGAGCAUGCUUUGGGCCGAUGUGCUGCCAGAACGGCUGUGGAUGGUGCCAGGAGACAGAGAGAGGGAAAACAUUUCGGUGUGUUAUGAAAGAAACGUGUUGCGUUAUGUACAGCUGUGUGUGGGCGCCGUUUGCUUAUGUGUUUAUGUACAAAUACUGCAUCUAUAAAAAUAUAUUCACGGGGGGUCUGAAAGCACAUUCAAAUCUGUAAUUCAAAGCAACUUUUAAAGUUUAAGAAUUAUUAAAUGGUUUAAGUCUGUGUAACUGGAAAUUGCUGAGAUUUAUGUUAGUACGUUAAUGUACUUCCAACUGAAGCUGAUUAUUGAAUAGGGGGCGGGGCUUUCUUU